rnacentral:rRNA from 1 species
AUGAUUCUACUUUCUGUAUGGAGCUGGGAGCGUCUGCCUGUUGGACGCCCGAAGAGCGUCAGGUUUAAUCCUUGGUAUGAAGAUGAACAUGACGAAUUACGGCGCCCCACUUGGGCUUACAAGUGGGAUGUGGUUUCCGAGAUGACGAACGAUGUCAAUCUCAUGUACCAGAAGUACGUUGCCGAGUUGGACAUGAUUACGCCUGAGCAGGUAACGAGGUCAUUACUUCAGUCAUUUCUCAUGUUUGCCAGAAAAAAAGUCACCAAUUUUGCAUUGUUGCCCUAUUUCAUAGGUGGAAUGGCAGCCAUAUGGCGCCGAUGA